rnacentral:rRNA from 1 species
AGCAGCUCCACCACCUGCAGUUCAGGCUAGGUGAUCCCCCUGAAACUAAACUGGUUUGGGUCUGGCCAGUACUUUGAUGGGAGACCAACUGGGAAAGCUGGUCCAACUUGCUGCUG